GACGACCGCUGGCGGCGUGCUUAACACAUGCAAGUCGAACGGAAAGGCCCUGCUUUUGUGGGGUGCUCGAGUGGCGAACGGGUGAGUAACACGUGAGUAACCUGCCCUUGACUUUGGGAUAACUUCAGGAAACUGGGGCUAAUACCGGAUCGGAGCUCCUGCUGCAUGGUGGGGGUUGGAAAGUUUCGGCGGUUGGGGAUGGACUCGCGGCUUAUCAGCUUGUUGGUGGGGUAGUGGCUUACCAAGGCUUUGACGGGUAGCCUGCCUGAGAGGGUGACCGGCCACAUUGGGACUGAGAUACGGCCCAGACUCCUACGGGAGGCAGCAGUGGGGAAUAUUGCACAAUGGGCGGAAGCCUGAUGCAGCAACGCCGCGUGCGGGAUGACGGCCUUCGGGUUGUAAACCGCUUUCGCCUGUGACGAAGCGUGAGUGACGGUAAUGGGUAAAGAAGCACCGGCUAACUACGUG
rnacentral:rRNA from 1 species